UGAUAAAGAGGGAAGGAUGGGCCUUUGA
rnacentral:piRNA from 1 species